rnacentral:rRNA from 1 species
UACAGAGGGGGCAAGCGUUGUUCGGAAUUACUGGGCGUAAAGGGCGCGUAGGCGGCCUGUUAAGUCGAACGUGAAAUCCCCGGGCUCAACCCGGGAACUGCGUCCGAUACUGGCAGGCUUGGAUCCGGGAGAGGGAUGCGGAAUUCCAGGUGUAGCGGUGAAAUGCGUAGAUAUCUGGAGGAAUACCGGUGGCGAAGGCGGCAUCCUGGACCGACAUUGACGCUGAGGAGCGAAAGCUAGGGGAGCAAACGGG